rnacentral:misc_RNA from 1 species
GUGAGUCAUCGAAUCUUUGAACGCACAUUGCGCUCUAUAGUAUUCUAUAGAGCAUGCUUGUCUGAGCGUUAGCUCCCUUCUACUCAAACCUUUGUAAAAGGUUUAGAUAUUGUUGAAAAGGUAAUUUAAAACAUUACUUUUCAAAAAUACAGAAACAGUAUUAGUUGCACCUGAAUUAAACGUAAUAGUUCUAUUAUAUAUUGUUUCUUUUAGAGAGUAUACUACUUACCUUAUAACCUACUAAAUCUAUAGGUGACUUUAGAUCAAGUAAGGAUACUUGCUGAACUUAAGCAUAUCAAU